CAUCAGCCAUUUUGCGUCACGUGGCUUUAUCAAGAAUCAUACACACUGAAAACGCCACCACCACCACGCGCAGAAAAAAGCAAAAGAAGAAGGAACGUACACGCGACAGUGCACCUCCGCACUCUCCCCUCUUUUCUUCUUUUUUUCGCCUCCCCUAUUUCUUCUCUGCAUCUCCUCCUCCCUCUCUGGUGUUGUGCUCCGCUGUCUUCUCGCGUUCGUCGUGCUGUCUGCUCUGCCAUCACGCGUCGCGGCACUGCACCCUCUUCGCUUUCGCCGCGUUUCGCCUCUCUCUCUCUCUCCUUCUGCACUGCCUCUGCUAGUUUGCAUGGUGAGAGCCUCCUUUGCGUCUUCUUGAGUGUCAGCAUCGUCUCUUUUCGUCUGUUGCUGUCGUUGUCGUUGUGUGUGGAGGCACCCUCUCGGGCACGCACCUGCCCUGGCUGCCAUGAAGGCCGUCUUGUGCUUCUCUCUUCUCCGCUUCUCUUGCUCGUGUCUCUCGGCCUAGCCGAAGGGACGGCUGGUACAAGGCGAAAGCACUACCGUUAGAAAACAUGCUAACCGACUACUGGCUUCUCACAGAUCUGGACGGGACGCUGAUCGCCACCCCGCACAAGGCAAACGGCCGGUAUCUCCCCAUCACGCGAAGCCCAUGCUUUGAGCCUAUCAGGCAGUGGCUGAGCAGCGACGGCAACGUGUGCAUCGUCACGACAGCGGACCUGCGGGCAAUCGACCAGGUGUACUACCCGCUGAGGCCGUUUCUCAAGACCUAUCAGGGGUACGUCGAUGAGGCUGCCGCGGCAGGAACUCCGCUAGCGACGGUUGAUGGCAUGAAAGGGCAGCCGCCCCGCCGCGGCUGCCUGCUCUUGUCCCUCUACACCGGUGCUGCCCUGUACUGGUGCACGUCCGACUCGAUUAUCAUGCUUCCGGGGUACGCGAGCGCUGUGCACUGCGCCACGCGCGAGGCUGUCGAGCUGGCGGCUGCCUACCAGGUGCGUAUGUCGCACGCCACCUUGUUUGUGGACGGCAGUGGUAAGCAGCUGCGUCCGAAGCCGGAGAUGUGCGUGCGUGGCACCUGCAUCGAUUCCGCAACCGCCCGCUGCCUGCGAACGCGCGUCGAGGCGCUUUAUCUGGAUUACGUUCGUGACGUACUCUCCGGCAAGGACCCCGCCGUACGCGAGGCAAUGAAGUGGCUUUCGCAGCGCUACCAGAGCAUGUGGGGCGGCCUCUUGCAGUACCUCGAGCUUAUUUACGCAACGGCCGUGCACAACCACCCCGCAUCACCGCUACUGCUAGGCACGAUGGCUAAGCAGACACUCUUGACACUGGCGCAGCAGCCGCCAGCGGACCCGGAAUCUGUGGAGUGGAAGGUGGAGUACCUGCGCUCGCGACGGGGUUUCUUGACCGCCGUCGGCAUCCUCCGCGUCGAGUACGCGGAGUCACAUUUGUGCUACGCUGAGGACGACAAAGGCACGUCGCAGUGGGUGUUGAACCAGAAUGUCGAGGCUCAGACAAAGGCGGCGGAGCGUGCACAGCUCGUCUCCUAUGCAACGCAGGUGCUGCUGGCUGAUCUGCCCGCCACGGUCGCGCCGAAGUUGGCGGCCGCAACGGCGACGAUGGCGAACUUCUUGGUCGAUCUCCUGGCACCCAGCACGAAGCAUUUUCAGCAGCAGAUGCGUGAGACCACGCUCCCUGUGACGGAGCUGGUACCACCGCCCCCCUCGUCUACCUUGCCUUCAUCAUCGGAAGGCGCGGCCACCAUUGCACAGGUGAUUCUGCUCGGGCUGCCGCUGCGUCUCUUCUCCAAGUACUUUCGCUCUCACGUGGCGGAGAUGGUGCGCGGUGGCGUGAACCCCAUGCCGCAGCCAAACAGUGUCGUCUUCUCCAAGAUCGGUGUGAGCAAGUCCACGGCGCUGCGCUACCUACUGGGCAAGGACCGGGUCGCUUCUGUUGAGGAGGAGUGGCAGCUGCACUUCACCGAAGCCGCCCCAAGCCCCAAAGAGGGUCCGGCAAGUCAAGCGAUCAACUUCGCCGGGUGCGUCCAGCGCUAUCACGGCAUCGCCAUGGGUGACAACCCGCAAUCCACCGACUACGAGCUGACGGUGUUCCGAGAUCUGCCGUUUUUCUCUGUGGAGAAGGAGUCGCAGCGGGUGGAGCGGCAGCGACGCAUUCUGCGACGACUGCAGCGUACACAGUCCAUCGAGAGCCGCGGCGGCCAGCCGCUGAUGCCAGAUGGCAGCCGAGCGCCGUCUUACGCGGAGCUCGUCAGCAGCCUGCGCCGCAGCGGACCCAUGAUGGACGACCGUCUUUUUCGCAACAUCAACUACGUUGGUGGUGAGGAAGAGGGCACGGCGCUUUUUCUUACCGCACUGCUCCACUACGCCAAGGCAGCGCGUAAGAGCGAAAAGGGCCCGAUGACGACCUCGGAGUUCCGCGGUGCUGUCAGCAAGGCACAAGAGACAAGUCGUGAUCAGGUGAUGCACCGCAUACCCUCUGCGAAGCUUUAGGCAAGCUUGAAAAAAGGAAAAAGAAAAGCGACGAUCGCGUGCCCUGCUCCUCGGCAUAGUUGGCACAACACCGGGGGAAUAUCUGCUUUCCUCUCCCUUAUGCUUCGCCAACUCCUCUGUGAAUCGCAAUACACUGCCUUCAUGUGCCUUCGUGUGCUUACGUGGUUCUUCGCUAAACGCUUCCCUACUGGAAUCUGAUCUCUGUGUUGGUUGCGCGCUUGUCUCGGUGUACGCGUGUACGCACCUUCUUUGUUGUUUAUCCCACCACAUCGCAUUUGGGAAAGCUCACGAUGUGAGGCUGUACAUCGAGUGUGUGUGUGUUUUCGUUUUCGCGCGUGCUCAUCUCGCGUGUAAAGGCGCCUUUAAGGUGCGGCUGUGUGUGCUCCACAUUUCCAUCCGCGUGUCACGCAUGCGUGCGCGUGUGUGCCCUUCAGCCCCUCUCCCGCUGGGCGUGUCUGUGUGGCUGCAGCUGAGUUUUUGGUGGUGGUGGCAGCCAGGGAGGAUGGGAUGCAGACCUCUAGAGGUGACUGCUUACGUGAGAGGUCGGCGUGGAUGGUAUCGAGAAGUACCAUCUGAAAAACAAAGGAACCGUACUCAGAAAGUCGGGGGAGGGGGACGAAACGGUCGGGAUGCGUAGCGAUACAGCGGGUCGGCUUGC
rnacentral:misc_RNA from 1 species